GGGGAAGACGAAAAGCUCUUGGUGAGGCUGGGCCUUUCUGGGGACGAUGCCGUCCGCAUUCUCAGUGAGCUCGUUCCCCGUCAGCAUCCCCGCCGUGAUCAUGCAGACAGACUGGACGGAGCCGUGGCUGGUCGGGCUGGUCAUCUUCCACGUACUCUGCCUGCUGCUCACCUGCUUCUCAUCCCGGAGGUAUAAGCUACAGGUCGGGCACUUCCUGUGUCUGGUGACGCUGGUCUACUGCGCCGAGUACAUCAAUGAGGUUGCGGCCAUGAACUGGAGGUCCUUCUCAAAGUACCAGUAUUUCGACUCGAGGGGGAUGUUCGUGUCCCUGGUCUUCUCGGCACCGCUGCUGCUCAACGCCCUGGCCAUCGUGAUCCUGUGGGUGCGCAAGACGCUGGCGGUGAUGAGCGACCUGAGGACCUUACAGCAGCGCCGGGGGCGGCCGAAGCAGCAGUGACGGCUCUGCCCCCGGCUGGCGCCUGGGCAUCCAGACCCGCCCCGCGUCCCGAGACGCUUGGGCUGGCUUUGAAGGGCGCUCGCCCGGCCUGGGUCCACCCAGAAGGUCUGAGUCUCCCUAGUUAAACUGUAAAUGGAGCCCCUGCAGUCAAGCCUGAGCUCGGGACACCCUGUCUGUCCAUGUGGGAGGGUUGAGGGGUGGACAGCGCCAUCCACGCGUGGGCACCCCCAUUGGCCCCUGUCACCCCCACCCUCCCCGUCAGUCAGCCCCCUGUCACCUCUAUCCCUCCCCCAUCACCCCUGUCCCCCCCAUGCUCCCCGUCAGCCCCCUGUCACGGUCACCCCUGUCACCCCUGUCACUGCCAUCACCCUGGUCUGGCCUUCGUGGCGACGGCCUCUCCAGGCAGGGCUGCCGCUGGACAGGGCAGGAGGGGCCGCCUGGCCUCUGUGCAGUUGGAGGCGUCACGGCGCCGGCGGAGGCCGGAGUCGGGAUCUUCAGAGGCGGCAGCCGCGCGAGCCCCUUGAGUUGUGCUUCAGGAAGGAACGUCGCCAUUAAAACAGUCAGCAGCUGCCUGGUUCAACUAAGAGGUUUUAUGGCAAAUACCGAGACGGGUUCUGUCCCUUGGUUCCUGCCUCUUACAUUCUGCUCGGGGACAUGCCACCGCCUCUUCUGUUGGAGCAGGUGCGCUGAUUCGGUGUCACGGCCGCGCUGCGGACUAGACCUGCAGCUGGAGGGUGGGGGCCGCAUGUCACGCUGGGACGUGGCUCUGAUCCUGGCCCAGGAAAGCCAUGUGCCAUGGGGUGGCCUGAAAAAAAGAGAGGAAGUAGUUUAUGAAUAGUUGUCUUAAUUUUAAGAAGAUGUUUUCCCUUAAAUGAAGUAUAUUUUUCAAAUUUCAAAAGAAAAAAAAUUGGUCACGUGAAAGCAUUAUAUUUAGUGGUUCAGAGGGUAACACUGCUGGAUGAUGGGAUUAAAUCUUGAAAUCCAGACGUAAAGACAGCUGUAAACUCUUAGCAGAGAAAUUAUUUCCUUAAUUUUGACGUUGGUUUUAGAACCGAGUCGAUAGAACUUCCUAGAUCAAUCUCUUGGAGCUUUUAACCUCACAUCCUUUCUUGAUGUGAACGUCUGUACUGAACAUUGAAAAAAUUGACUCAGCAACAGCAUGUCACGUGAAAUCCAGUUUUAGAUGUCUUGCACCUGAUGACAUCCUGAGGGUGCGUUGCUGAAAGUGACCAGUUCAGGGUGUUCCUUGGUGUCCUGGCUUCAGAAGAGUCGCCUGCAUCUGAGCAGCUCCCGGGAGCCCACAGCGGCAGGGGCUGCGGGCGGGGUCGAGUGUCCCCUCCAGCGCCGGCCUGGGGCCAGGGGACAGAAGUGCCCGUGGCAACGUCCUGCCCUUGCCCUCGGCCCCUCGGAGCCCAGGGAGUGCAGGCAUUUCCACCGUCUGGAGCCACUCCUGUCAGCGCGAGACUGUGACUGGCUCUCAGCUGUCCUGUGAAGACCGGGUAAUGACAUCGUCAUUGGCCUGGAUGUGGGGUCAGACGUCCUGUCGAAAAACACGACGUAGGGCCUUUUCGUUCACUGGUGUGUGUAAGUUUUGGGGAGUCGUUGUGUUUUAUUUUCACAAACACAACCUGUUUUUAAAACUUUUAGUAGGUUUCUCUCCAGUGGCUUAAAGGGCAGUGUUUACGAACACCAGGCGGUCCUCAUGCUUGGGACACACUCCAAGCCGUCGCUGUCCCAGCACUUCAGGUCACCUCAAGUGUGGGGACUGUGGCCCUUUCGGGGCAUCGGGGUGCUGCUGGGGCUUGGGGCCUCCAGGCGGGUGGAAGGGCAGCCUGUGUCUGUCAUCUGCGGACGAGGAGACGAGAGACACGCGUGGUCAAGGAGCAUUUAGCCCAUUCCAGACCUGCGACCUUCAGUUUGUCAGUUGCUGUGUAAUAAAGUCUUAUUUUAUUUCAA
rnacentral:lncRNA from 1 species